GCGGUAAUUCCAGCUCCAAUAGCGUAUAUUAAAGUUGCUGCGUUUAAAAAGCUCGUAGUUGGAUCUCAGUCUCGAUCGAGCGGUCCGUCUUCCGACGGUACUGCGCGAAUCGGACAUUCCGCCGCAUUUCCCCGCAUGCCCUUAACUGAGUGUGCGGGGAGAGUGGUACGUUUACUUUGAAAAAAUUAGAGUGCUCAAAGCAGGCCAUGGCCUGAAUAGUCGUGCAUGGAAUGAUGGAAUAGGGCCUCGGUUCUAUUUUGUUGGUUUCCGGAACUCGAGGUAAUGAUUAAUAGGGACGGACGGGGGCAUUUGUAUUGCGACGUUAGAGGUGAAAUUCUUAGAUCGUCGCAAGACAAACUACUGCGAAAGCAUUUGCCAAGAAUGUUUUCAUUAAUCAAGAACGAAAGUCAGAGGUUCGAAGGCGAUCAGAUACCGCCCUAGUUCUGACCAUAAACGAUGCCAACUGGCGAUCCGCCGCAGUUAAUUCAAAUGACUCGGCGGGCAGCUUCCGGGAAACCAAAGUUUUUGAGUUCCGGGGGAAGUAUGGUUGCAAAGCUGGAACUUAAAGGAAUUGACGGAAGAGCACCACCAGGAGUGGAGCCUGUGGCUUAAUUUGACUCAACACGGGAAACCUCACCAGGCCCGGACACCAGAAGGAUUGACAGAUUGAUAGCUCUUUCUUGAUUUGGUGGGUGGUGGUGCAUGGCCGUUCUUAGUUGGUGGAGUGAUUUGUCUGGUUAAUUCCGAUAACGAACGAGACCCCGGCCUGCUUACUAGACCACGGAUCCGUUUGUCCGUGCUGUCUUCUUAGAGGGACAACUGGCUACACGAAAUAGCUACAUGAAAUGGGGCAAUAACAGGUCUGUGAUGCCCUUAGAUGUUCUGGGCCGCACACGCGCUACACUGAAGGGAUCAUCGUGUUUAUCCUAGUCCGAGAGGACCGGGAAACCCGCUGAAUUCUCUUCGUGCUAGGGAUUGAGGCUUGCAACUGUUUCUCAUGAACGAGGAAUUCCCAGUAAGCGUGAGUCAUCAGCUCGCGCUGAUUACGUCCCUGCUCUUUGUACACACCGCCCGUCGCUACUACCGAUUGGAUGAAUUAGUGAGACAU
rnacentral:rRNA from 1 species